CUCCAGUCUUAACCUCUUCAAAUUGGCCUCUCUGUGCUAGAAACAAAGUGACAUAUCAAAACUGAAAAUCCCACUGUGUCACUCCCCCUUGGAGCAUUUUCACACGUGAGCGUUUUCUCUCUCUGGAAUGCUACUCUCUAUCUAAUUCCCUCCCCUGCCCCUUCUGUAAUACCCUGUUCUAUAUACAUACUCAUAUGUUCUCUGGUUAUGCUUCUGAUUGUAUCCCCACUCGAUUGGAACCUCCUUCAGAAGUCCUGCCAGAAGUCAGAAGUCCUGUCUUACUCCUCUGGGUAUCUUCAAUCCUUAGAACAGUGCUUGUCCCAUAGAAAUACCCAAUACGUACUUGUGGAAUUAAUGGAUAUCCAGGUGCCUAUGCCCUGUCUACCUCCACCUUUGUUUCCCUUAGAAUCUAUUAUCCGCUAGGGUAGGUAGAGUGAACCUUUAAAAAUGUAAAACAAAUCAUGUAUUUACUCUGCUCAAAACCUAGUGGCUUCCCUCUCAGAGCAAAAUUCCAAGCCCUUCCAAUGUCCUCCCAGGCCCAACGUGAUGUGGAUCCUGGCCGCCUCUUUGACCUCACUUCGUAACAUUCUCUCCCUUUCUUACACCUGUGUGGUCCUACUGGCUCCCCUGCUGUUCUGAACACACACACCAGACAUGUUCCUACCUCAGGGCCUUUGCACUUAAACUCUUAUGCUGAUUACAAUGCUCUUUUUAUAGAUACUUGCAUGUUCCUAUUUUCACUUGAUUUGGGUCUCUGUUUGCCUUAUCAGAAAGACCUUCACUGACUCCCCUAAACAAAACAGCACUCUCUCCCAAACAUUUUUUAAUACUCUACCUUGCUUUAUUUUUGUUCAGAGUAUUCAUCCCCUUCCUUGAUACAGUUUAUUAUUUCUUUAUUGCCUAUCACCUCACCUCCUAUAAGAAUUUAAGCUUUUUUUUUUUUUUUUUAAUUUUUUUAAUGUUUAUUUAUAUUUGAGACAGAGAGCAUGAGCAGGGGAGGGGAAGAGAGAGGGGGAGUCAGAGGAUCUUAAGCGGGCUCUGUGCCGACACAGCCCGAUGUGGGACUUGAACCCACAAACCGUGAGAUGACCUGAGCCAAAGUCAGGUGCUCAACUGACUGAGCCACCUAGACGCCCCAAGAAUUUAAGCUUCUUGAUAGCAAGAGUCUUUGUUUUUGUUCCUACUAUACCUCCAGCACCUAGAACAGAGGCUGGCACAAACUUUGUCUCCAUAAUUGUUUAUUGAAUAAUUGAAUGGCCAGUUGUAGGCAUACAGGAAAGUCAUCUAAUCCAAUCAGGGAAUGCUUCCUGGGGGAGGUGACAACCUGUGUGCGGUCUGAAAGGGCAGAAGUAGGUAAUUGGGUGGUUGAGGUGUAUGCCUGGCAGAGAAAGCAGAGUAUGGAAAGCCCUGGAACUGUGAUCCCUAGGGGGUGAUUGGUAUAGCUGGAGUAGAGAACACAUGCAGGAGAGUACCUGGGGAUGAGGCCGGAUGGGAGGGCAAGGACCAGGACAAAUCUGAAGGGUCUUGAGCACAAAAUGAAGAGGUUUGGACUGAUUGCAAGCAGGAACUAGUUAGUUUCUCAUUACCGGGCUGUGUGGAAGAGAAGCUAGAGCAGGGAGAGCUGGGCAGGAGGAGGAAGCUUCAUUUAUAAACAUCUAAAGAGUUCCGCUAACUUAGGAACCCAGAGUAAGUUGAAAACAAAUUGCUGUCUAGCUGAAAGGCUUCAGUGGUGAUAGUUAGAAAGUGAAAUGAUUGCAGAGAUGUGCUUUGGAGAUUUGGAAGGCAGGCUGUGUUAUUUGUGGCUGUUUUCUCCUUGAUGCAUGUGCAGAAUUUCCAUGCAUGGUAAUGGAGCUAUUCUGAGUGCUUGCCAAAGGGAAGGAGGCUCACAGACACCCACGUACGCUUGUCCACCCACAGAGAAGCACCUCUGAGCUCCAGCCUGUUACAAGUGAAAGGGACAGCUCCUGAAAAGGGGUGAGAGAGGUCCCUAGGACUCUGAGUUACCUGUAAGUCUACGCAUGAAUAUGUCUUCUGUGUUUACUUGCUGUAGGAAAUUAGGAAAUUAAGUACCAUUAGAGUCUGCUCCACUAGUUUAUUGGUCCUUUUUUGGUGGUUGAAUCGGAGGUCCUGGGCCCUUGGGUAGGGACUGGGUCUUUUCAUUCAUUUGCUCAAUGAACAGAUGUUGCCCAUCUACUGUGUGCCCAUGACUGGACUGGCACUGGGGAAACCGCAAUAAAUGAGAUAUAAUUUCUACCUUUGGGGAGCUCUUAGUCUGGUGGCGACACAGACACAUAGGUAAAUAAUUAUACAUAUAUCUAUACAUGUAUAUAUAUACACACACAAUAAUUAUACAUAUAUUUACAUAGGUAAAUAAUUAUAGUAUAAGAUAAUAGGUAUUUACUGUAGAUAUUUAGUUAAAAUGUUGAGAAGGUGGGAAAAGGAAUGAUUCACACCAUUCUGAGGAAAGAAAGUCUUCACAGAGCAUUGAUGUUUGAACCAAAUCUUGAAGUAGAGGUAGGAGUUCUUAGCAGAGGGAACAGCGUGUGCUCAGAGGCACAGGUGUAAAGGCUUGUUUCACUAGAGGCAAAUGUGUGUUGGAAGCAUAAGGCUCUUGGAAUGGUGGGCAGAAAUGGGGCCAAAAAAAAAAAAAGUGGCCAGGGCCGUGGAGACAUUAUGCAGGAGUUGGACUUUGACCUUCAAAUAAUGGGAGGCCAUGAGAUGUGUUUGAGGAAGUGAGGGACCUAGUAAGGUGUGUGUUCUACAAAGAUCAAAAUGUUCCUACGUAAAAAUGUAUUUAAGAAAAAAAAAAAAUUGUUAACCCAAAAGCUUAAGACAAAGGAAAGACACGCUUGAGAUUCAGUAAAUGAGAGAUUUUUUUUUUUUUUUUGACAAAUGAAGUUUAGAGUUGACCAAACAGAUAUCAUUAGAGAGUCCCAGGUUUGAAAAAUGGCAGGAGGCUGAGAUAAUGCAUUUACUUUGUUCAGUGGUGAAGGAACAGGCAGCUGGCCUUUUUUCAUUUAUAGAAUAUCAGGUUCUUAAACUUGUGCAUGUCAACCUUGGUUUUCUUUUGCUGCAGCCUCAGGCCUCAGAGCCUCACUCUGAGAUUUGUAAUGUGUUUUGGAUGCGUUUAUCACAGGCAAAUGGGGCAGGGGCUCGGCUUGUUACUGCCCAUUACUGCUAUCAAAGGGAGUCCAUACAGAAAACAAGGCUUUGGGAGCUUUGAUUAGGUCAGUGACACUGCCUUUGUUUCAAAAGAGAGAUGGUUUGAUUGGAUAACAUUGUAUUUUCUUUUAAGUCAACCCAAAUAAUAAAAUUGCUGUCAGGGAUAGGCUUACCCAAAAGCAAAGGAGCUUAGUCUCAAGAUCCCAAGAAUACCAGGAUGUCCAGUCAAAUGCUACUUGUUCAUCUUGUUAAGAUCACUCACUCAGUGUGUAUGUAUUGAGCUCUUACGAGCCAGGUCCGGGGGGCACAGGGAUAAAUGAGACAUAGUCUCUGGCCCCACAGUCUAAUGAAAGAAACAGAUAAACCAUUAAAAAAAGACAAAUGAUUGUGAAUUCUGGGAAUUCAAAGGAAAGGAAAUAAGCCAAUAAACAUAUUAGAAGAUGCUCAACCUUACUAAUAAAAGGGGAAUGGCAAAGAUCAAUGCCAUCCUUGAGGACGUAAAGGAUGCAGGGGCAGUGAUUCUCAUCGUCUUCAUUCCAUUCACUGAUCUGGCCCCUGCACAAAUCAAGUGGUUCCUGGAGGAUGACCGUGGAUUACGGCAAAAUCAACCAAGUGCUGGUUCUGCUUGCGGUGCUGUGCCAGAUGUGGCGUCUGUCCUAGCGCACAUUCGCAUGUUCUCAGGUCCACGGUAUAAAGCUGUGGACCUGGUGAGUGUGUUUCAUCUCCUUCCCCAUCAGAAGCAAAGAUCAGAGUUCAUAUUCCCUUGGAACAGACAAAAGUACACGAUUACCAUCUUGCCCCAGGGCUAUUAAGCUUCCUCACGACCUAGUCUGAGAAGACCUAUACUGCCUAGAUACCUUGCAGAACAUCAACUUGGACCAGAUGAGCAAUGAGCAAGUGUACUGGAAGCCUUGAUGAGACACAUGCAUUGCAGAGAGUGGAAGAACACGCUAUGAAGAUUCAGAGGCCUGAUAGACAUCUCAGUGAAAUUUUUAGGGACCAGUAGUCUGGGAUAUGCCAGGGACAUAUCUUCCAAAGUGAAAGAUAAUGGUGAUUGCACCUCCCACCUCCACCCCGCAUGAAGAAGGAAGCUCAAUGUCAGGUGGGCCCCCUUGGGUUUUGGAGGCAGCGCAUUUCCCACCUGGGAAUACUGCUCCACCCCAUAUCAGAUGACACAGAAGGCUGCCAGUUUUGAUGCUGGCCCAGAAUGGGAAAGGGCUCAGCAGCAGAACCAGACUAUACAAGUAGCCAUAUGAUCUGGCAGAAACCAUGGUAUUUGAGGUAUAUGUAGUGGGAAAAGAUACGUAUGGAGCUCACGACAAGGCUGAGUAGGAGACAAUAUAGACCCUUGGGGUUCUGGAGCAGGGCCAUGCCAUCUGUAGCCAGGAAUAACACACUUUUCAAAAAAUAGCUUCUGAUUUGCUGAGCGUUCUGGUGGAAACAAAACAGAUCAUCUGACUGCAGAACAUCAAGUUGACCAUGGAACUAAAGCUGUUCAUCGUAAGGUAGAUUCUGUCAGAUCCACCAAAUCAUAGGGUCACACAAGGCCCAAUUCAUCAGGAUGGACAUGGUACAACUGGGAUUUGGCACAACAGGGCCAAAGGGCACAAGACAGCUGCAUGAGCAGGUGGCCCAGACAUUUAUGUCAUCCACCAUCUUUGCACCAGUGCCUCUCCCUGAGGUCACCUAUGGCUGCCUGAGGAGCUCCUUAUAUCCAGCAGGAGGAGAAAAAAAGCCAAGCUUUGUUCAUGGGUGGGUCAGCUCAGUAUGUGUGAGUAAGCCAAAAAUAGACUGUUGCUAUACUGCAGGCCCCACUGCAGUGUCCUUGAAAGACAGUAGAGGAGGAAAUUCUUCCAGUGGACAAGCUCUGAAUAGUACACCCAGUCAUCCACCUUUUGUGGAGAGACAGAGGGCCCAUCGUUAGAAGACACAUGGAUCUAGUGGGCAGUGGUGAAUGGCUUGGCUGGUUGGUCAGAGGUCUGGAAGGAUAAGACUGAAAAAUCAGGGACAAAGAGGUCUGGGGUAGAGGCACGUGGAUGGACCUACGAGAGUGGACAUCAAGUGUGAAGUUCAUUGUAUUCCAUGUUAACACCCACCAGAGAAUGUAUACCACAGAAGAAGCAUUAAACAAAUACAAGUAGCCAUGCUACUUGUGAACCAUAUGAUCUAGCAGAAUCCAUGGUAUUUGACCAUGCAGCCAAAGCUGUUCAUCAUAAGCUGGGUUCUAUCAAAUCCACCAGAUCAUAAAGUCACACAGUCCCUAACAAACUUCCUGUACGCUAAUCUCCAUCUCACGGUCUACCUUCCAGGGAACGGACCUGCAACAUAGCUCUUCUAAUUGCUGGUAACACCUCUUAAAUCGGGUGUUGGCAGAAUUUUCUAAAAAGGGACAGAAAAGGUCUGGUUUGCAGACCAUAUGAUCUCUCACAACUACUCACCUCUGGUGUUAUAGUACAAAAGCAGCCAUAAGUAAUACAUAAAUGAAUGAGUGUGGCUGUAUUCCAAAAAACUUUCCAAAGGCAUGUGGUAGGUGGCAUUCGGUCCACGGCCUUAGUUCGCCAACCCCUACUCUAAAGAAAUAUUUUUACAAGUGUACCAAGUAGGCGUUACAAAAAUUUAAUUGCAGCAUGGUCUGUAGUAAAAUUUUAGAAGUAAUCUUACACUAAAAAAAGAAAGGUUACAUAAAUUGUGGUAUUUAUAGAUUUUGGAAUAGUAUGCAGCAUAUAAAAAGAAUGAGUUUAGAUCUAUAAAGCAGCAGUGUCCAAUAGAAAUAUAACAUGAGCCAGCCACAUACGUAAUUUUGAAUUUUCCAGGAGCCACAAUGAAAGCUGUAGAGAGAAACAGAUGAAAUUAAGAAUAUAUUUGAGGGGCACCUUUGUGGCUCAGUCAGUUGAAUGUCUGACUUCGGCUCAGGUCAUGAUCUCGUGGUUUUUUGAGUUCGAGCUCCAUGUUGGGCUCUGUGCUGACAGCUCAGAGCCUAGAGCCUGCUUUGGAUUCUGUAUCUCCUUCUCUCUCCGCCCCUCCCCUCCUUGCAUUCUGUGUGUGUCUCUCUCUCUUUCUCUCUGUCUCGAGAAUAAAUAAACAUUUUUAAAAAGGAGACAUAUAUUUGAGCUCUCUACACUGAAGAUAUUAUCACUUUAACAUGUAAUUAACAUAAAAAUUAUUUAUGAGAUAUUUUACGUUCUUUUUUGUACUGAGUUUUUGCAGUCUGAUGUGUAUUUUACAUUUAACAGCCCAUCUCAAUUUGGGCCAACCACAUUUUCAAGUGUUCAGUAGCUAUGUGUGGCUAGUGCUACUGUAUUGGACAGCGUAGAUCUGUACUGAAAAUCUGUUACUGCUGCGGAGACGCCACUGAUACAUAUAUGGUUUAGUGAAAAAGGGAAGGUACCACUUUGGUAUGAACCACUUCGGUGAAGGGGAAACACUCCACGAACAUAUUGAAGAAGAAGAUGUAUACACAUGUGUACCCAAUUUAGAAUGAGGCUUUGGGUGGAGCGAUGGAGGGACUCACUCUCUCCUUACCUGAUUUUUUACAAUAAACUUUUUAUUUGUGGAUAAUUUUAGACUCAAAAAAAAGUUGCAAAGAUGAUACAGGGAGCUCCCAUUUGCCCCUCACCCAGUUUCCCCUGUCGUUAACAUUGUACAUCAGCGUGGCGCAUUUGCCAAAAUUAAAAAUCCACAAUUGGCACACGACUAUGAACUAAACUCCAGACUUCAUUCGGCCUUCGCCAGUGUUUCCACUAGUGUCCUUUUUCUGUUCCGGAUUCAUGCUGGGAUUGAACUGCAUUUUGUCAUUAUGCCUCUCCAGUCUUCUCUGCUCUCUGACCAGUUUCUCAGUCUUUCCUUGUUUCCUAUGACUAUGACCAUUUUAAGCAGUGCUGGCCAGGCAUUUUGUAGAAUGUUUCUAAGUUUGGGUUUGUCUGAAGAAGGCCUCCUGACUGAACUGGGGUGAUGGGUUUUGGGCAAGAAUACCACAGAGGUGAGCUGUCUUUGUCACAGCACAUCCAGGGGUAUAGGACAUCCAUAUACCUUAUCCCUGGGAAUGUUCACCUUUGUUGCUUGGUUAAGGUAGUGUCUGCCCUGUCUCUCCACUGUAAAUGUUAUGACUUUUCCCUUUCCCUACUCUGUUCUUUGAAGGCAAGUCACUAAGUCCAGACCUUCCUCAAAGGCGGUGGUGAUUAAACUCCUUUCUCCUGGGUGGAGUAUCUACUUGUAUUAUUUGGAAUUCUGCCCUAAGGAAGAUCUGUCCAUUCUCCCCUGUCUGUCUGGCUAGCUAGCUAGCUAUCAGUAUGGACUCACAUAUUUGUUUCAUACUUUCAGCUGUAAUCCAAUUGGAUUGUUUUUCACAAUGAAUAUAAAUUCACGUAUUGUGAUGUUUUUAAUGUAGAAAACACAAGCAACCAUGCUGUGUGAGACACAAAUUCUGUGAUUGGCAAGACUUUUACCUCCACAGCUCUUCAAGACUGCCUUUGAGGAGGAUAAUCAUUGGCUCAUUACUAUUCAACUAGCAGCUUUAGACACGCUAUUUCAACUCUGCAGCUCUCAGUACCCCCAUCUGAAUAAGAGAAUGUGUCAUGAAAUGGUCUCGAGGUGAAGAAGGGGAUGAUGUUUGUAUUACAGGUAUUUUGUUGCCUACUAAUAGACAUUAAGUCCUUAAUGGCGAGUGUUAUCUUCUCUUAUUUAUGUUGGAAGAUGAGCCCAGAGCUAAUAGCCCUUGAGAACAUGACGUAAACAUAAUCAAUAUUUACAUCCCCUAUCACAACCCCAAAUAGUUCUCCUGCCCUACUCAUUCACCUCUGAGUGGGAUCUGGCUUUCCUAUUCUCCCUCAGCUUUUUCUCCAGUGGCUGAAGUCUACCCUGAGGCCUGGCACUGGGAGCCCUGUCCUACAGAUGUCUCCUGACCUCUGGCUUCAUUCUUGUGCCUCUCAUCUAUCUCUGCUAUGACCACACUGAUGUCCUUAUCACCCCCAUGAACGAAAACGCUUACUGAAUAUCUCCCUCCUCUGUGGCAGGCCCUGAGAUGAGAUGAGCCGGAUAGGGGCUUUGUGUCCUAGCCCAUCUUCCAAUGGAACCAGGUCAUCAAUCCAUAGCAAUCUGUCAUCUAGAGGAAUGGGUUGGGGACUGUGGGAGCAUUAUGGAGGGAGGGCCUAGGUGUGCCUGUGGAGGGGGUUGGUCUGGAGAGAAUGAAAAAGGCUUUGCAAAGAUGCUAAUUUGGGAGCCGGCCAGGGACAGUUAUAUAGGAGUUUACCAGGCAGGGAAUGGGAGAAGUGGUGCUCCAGCACAAGGAAAGGUACAUGCAAGCCAGAGAAAUGUCAAAGAACAGGGAACCAUAAUAUGCAUGAUAUGGCUAGAGCCAAAGUGCAGACAGAGGACAAAUGGCCUGAAGUGAGAGUGGAGACUGAGGUGGGGGACAGUCUGUGAAGGCCUGAAUUCUGGGCUGGAAAUUUCUACUUGGGGAAUUUUUGAUAUUUUGAGAUGAGGAAAUUACCUAAGUAAAAGCAGAGGUCCUGGAUCAGGGACCUACUACUCAGGUAACUGUUAAUCAACAAAUAUUGAGCUCCUGUGGCACAUCACGAGGCACUUGUUCGUUUCCUCCUCCACCCUGACGGUGAGCUUUGGGACAGGGACUGUGUCUCAUUCAUUUCUGUGUCCCCAGCAGAGUCUCAUACAGAGCAGGAACUCAACACACACACACACACUGAAAUGAGGGAAUUAGAAGCCCGGGUGAGACCCGGUGCCUGAGUCCUGUUUAGGUUCUCACCGUGCAGGAUAGGGGCCAAGCCCUCCCUCAUGAUUUUCAUGAGUCUCUCAUGGUUCUGCAGUUUCUCUAUACAUGCAAGAGUCUCAUCCUCUCCUGCCUGAUGCAGAGAGCAGAGCUCCCUGAGGAAGCACUAAGGGUUGGAUUGCUUCAGAGCCAGAAAAUGCAUGGCCCAUGGGAGGUUCAUUUCAGAGUUUUAUCUCCUGUCCAGUGGGGAGUUCAAAGCAGGUGGAUCUUGAGGUCCCAACCAGCUCUCUCAGAAGUUCCAUAAUUCUACAGCUUUUUGAUUCGCACCCCAGAGCACCCCUUGGCAGGAGGUAAGCCGGGCCGGCGCGAUUCUCCCUGUUGAGAGCCAAGGAAAGUCAGACUCAGAGAAAUGGUUAGGCCAGCCAUUCUCAAAGUAUGGUUCCUCCCUGCAACAUCAGUUAGAAAUGCAAAUUCUUGGGCCCGAAGCUAGACCUACUAAAUCAGAAACUCUGGGGGGAAGGCCUGCAGUCCGUGCCACUGCCUGGUGAUUCUGUUCCUUGCAUGCUCAUGUUUGAGGCUAGGCCACACAGGGAGUUAAAGACAAAGCUGGGACUCGAAUCUGAGUUCCUACCUCCCAGGCUGUUGCAUCUGUGGUUGGCACAGUGCCCCGUACUUAGUAGACCCUCAAUAAAUAACCAGGGAAUCUUUAAGCCUCACACCCCUUUCUGGUCACUGCCUCUCCAGGGCAUGUUUCGUGCUGUGCUGUCUGCUAUUAGUCUCUGGCAGUCAGGUGAAUCCAUGGUAGACAAGAAACAGUCCUGGAGAAGAGGAGCCCCUGGCCUCAGGUCACUCAGCAAGGAAGUGAUCAAACCAUACGCAAAGACCUGGUGUCCCUCCUCUUACCUCAGAGCUCCCCUACCACUGCUGGGUGUCUCCUCUGGGCCAGCAGUGAGGUGGAGACAGGGGUCUUUUGAGCCGUCUGGAUGCAAGAUGAUAAAGUCCUGUGACACUAGGUGCUCCUGGGGUCUCUCAACCUUUUUUUUUUUUUUUUUUAAUGUUUAUUUAUUUUUGAGAUGGGGGAGUGGGAGGGGCAGAGAGAGAGGGAGACACAGGAUCCAAAACAGGCUCCAGGCUCUGAACUGUCAGCACAGAGCCCGACGCGGGGCUCGAACUCACAGACUAUGAGAUCAGUAGCUGAAAUCAGACGUCUAACUGAGCGCCCCUCUCAGCUUUUUGUAGAUGCUUCUCCCUUCCCAUCUGGUGUGCCUGGGGCUUAUGAGAAAGCUCAGCUUUGGGGAAAGGAAACUAUUUUGGUCUUGGAAACUCUGGCAUAGCAGCCAGAAACUUCUAGUUAUGUCUUCCCCACCUAACUACUUCCCGAGUCUACGUAGAAAGGUUCCCCGAGGUAAGGAGCCCUUCCCUCUGCAGAGCCAAAGGGCCUAGUCACAGCACUAAGUGAGGGCUGGUGCUGGGGAGGGUCACCUGAGGGGGCAGCUAGUGAAGCAGAGAGCUGAGUCACCGCAGACCCCUCAAGAGCGGCUGUUCGAAUACCCGAGAGGGGAGGGACCCAGCCAAGGUCACUCAGUUGGAUCCUGGCUCCCUGACUGGCCUAGACUGACCAGAUGAGGCCUCUCGGUUCACUGUCUCCACUCCAUGCACCUCUCCCGCAAGGGCUCUCGGGCUUACCCCGACUUGGCCCGACUCUGCAAAUCUGACUUCGUGCUCACUGGGCACCACCCCCGGCUUCCACUUCCACCACGUCACUUGCCUGGGUCACCAGUGCUCUCUCCAUUUCCACACAUAAAUCAAGACUAUCGGGGCGUCUGGGUGGCGUUUAGGCGUCUGACUUUGGUUCAGGUCAUGAUCUCACAGCUCGUGAGUUCGAGCCCUGCACCGGGCUCUGUGCCGACAGCUCGGAGCCUGGAGCCCGCUUCGGAUUCUGUGUCUCCCUCUCUCUCUGCCCCUCCCCUGCUCGCACUCUAUCUUUGUCCCUUUCUUUCAAAAAUAAAUAAACUUAAAAAAAAAAAAUUUCUUACCCAGACUGACAGCUGCAGCAUCAGCCAGCCACUUUAUCCUUGAAAUGUGUUCCUCUCAGUUUUUCCAACACCCUGUUUUUCUGAUUUCUCCUGCGAGGUCCCAGGCUUCUGUGGACUCCUUCAUUCAUCCUACCGGGUUGUAAGUGGCUGUGUGUAUAUGCUAGUCAUUGUGGCUGGGUCUGGCAAUCAGUGGGGAGCAAGGUGGUCAGGUCCUGCCUUUGGGAGUACACGGUGUAAGAGGCUCUGUUCUGAGCCCUCCCAUCUCCCUCUUCCCCGCUCUCUUCUGUUCAUCUCAGCGACACACUGCUGACUGCCAAGCCCCACUCUGCCCAGAACUUCCCCCCAAGCUCCAGGCCUACAGCUCUUACUGCAUGGAGGACAGUUCCCUCUGGAUGGUCCACAAGCAACUCAAACUUGCAAGGCCCAAACCAAACCCGUGACCGUCUUCUCCCACCUGUCCUCCUUCCUGGCUUGUCUUACACAACUGGGGCGACAUGCCUCACUUCUCCCUCCGGCACCUCACAACCAUCUGCCUCCCUAAAUAAUGUACUCCUCUGUUUUUCCCACGGCCAGAGCCCUCGGCUUGCCCCCGUGACACGGCCCCAGCCCUUCUUCCUCGUCCUGUUUUGUUCCCUCCAAACCAUUGUAUGGACAGAGCUCGAGGGGUCAAGAGUAAGCCUGACCAGCCCAGUGUCCGUCAGCAGGCAAAUGAAUACUCCAUGAGUGGCAAGUCCACACAGCAGAGUAUUACUCAUCUAUAGAAAGGAAUGCAGUACUGACGAGCCGGUGAACCUUACAAACACGAAGCUACGGGAGGCAAGCCAGACACAAAAGGUCACGUAUCGCAUGGCUCCAUCUGUGUGAAAUGUCCAGAACAGACGAAUCCAUAAGGCAGAGAACUGACAGUUGCCAGGGACUAGGGGAAGGGACACUGGGGAGAAACUACUUACAUAACACGUAAGGGGUUUUACUUGGGGUAAUAGAAAUGUUUCGCCACUACAUAGAGAGGAAGGUAGCCCAACACUUUGAAUGUACUACGUGCCACCACACCGUUCACUUUAAAAAGGUUAGGGGCGCCUGGGUGGCUCAGUCGGUUGGGCGGCCGACUUCAGCUCAGGUCACGAUCUCGCGGUCCGUGAGUUCGAGCCCCGCGUCGGGCUCUGUGCUGACAGCUCAGAGCCUGGAGCCUGUUUCAGAUUCUGUGUCUGCCUCUCUCUCUGCCCCUCCCCUGUUCAUGCUCUGUCUCUCUCUGUCUCAAAAAAAAAAAAAAAAAAAAAAAAGUUAAAAAAAAAUUUAAAAAGGUUAAUUUUAGGGGCGCCUGGGUGGCUCAGUCGGUUGGGCGUCCGACUUCAGCUCAGGUCAUGAUCUCAUGGUUCAUGGGUUCGAGCCCCGCAUGGGCUCUGGGCUGACAGCUCAGAGCCUGGAGCCUGCUUCGGAUUCUGUGUCUCUCUCUCUCUCUGCCCCUCCCCUGUUCACACCGUCUCUCUCUGUCUCUCAAAAAUAAAUAAAUGUAAAAAAAAAAAAAAUUUAAAAAAAAGGUUAAUUUUAUGUUCUUACGAACUUCACCUCGGUGAAUUAGUUGUUUUAAAUGCCACCCCCAUACCCAUUAGGAUAGCUCCUACCAAAACCAAACCAAAGACCAAGCAAAAGAAGGUAAGCGUUGGCAAGGAUGUGGAGAAAUGGGAAGCCUUGUGCCCUGUUGGUGGGAAUGUAAAGCGGUGCAGCCUGUAUGGAAAACAGGACGGUGGUUCCCCAAAAAAUUAGAAAUAGACAUACCACACGACCCAGGCGUUGCACGUGGGAGCGUACACCCGAAAGAACUGAGAGCAACAUCCACGUCGCACAUCCACUUUCCUAGCAGCGCGAUUCACAAGAGCUGAAAUGUGGAAUCAACCCAAGCGUCCAUCGACCGAUGAAUGGAUAAAUGACACGUGGUGUAAAUACACCCCACGGAAUAUUAUUCAGCCUUAAAAAUAAAAGGCAUCCUGCAACAUGCUACAACACGGGUGAACCUCGAGGACACGAUGCUAAUGACCAGGCACACACACACGCAAAAAGACAAAUAGCGUAUGAUCCCACUUAUAUGUGGUGCUUAGAGUGGUCAGAUCCACAGAGACAGAAUGGCUAUGGGGGUUGCCAGGCACUGGGGGGAGGUUUAUGUAUUGAGUUUCGGUUUUACAGGACAAACAGGUCUGGGUAUGGGUGGUUGGUGAUGGUGCACGACAGUGUGAGUGUACGUAAUACCAGUUUACAGUGGCAAAUUUUAGGCCGUAUGUCACCACAACAUUUUUUUAACAAGGAAAUCUGACCUUGUCAGUAUCUUUUCAGUUCCCUGCCAUGGCCUGUUCUUGGGACGAAGUGCCAGCUCCACAGUUGGGCACCCAGAGUCCCCUGGGACGUAGCCUCCCCACCUCUCAGGCCUUAUGCCCUGCUCCCCACAGUCGUCACUCCACAGUCUCAACUGCUGACAGUUUGUCGCACAAGCCAACCGUGUUUUCUGAUGCUGGGGCCUU